AUUGAACGCUGGCGGCAGGCUUAACACAUGCAAGUCGAGCGGGGGAGGUUGCUUCGGUAACUGACCUAGCGGCGGACGGGUGAGUAAUGCUUAGGAAUCUGCCUAUUAGUGGGGGACAACAUCUCGAAAGGGAUGCUAAUACCGCAUACGUCCUACGGGAGAAAGCAGGGGACCUUUGGGCCUUGCGCUAAUAGAUGAGCCUAAGUCGGAUUAGCUAGUUGGUGGGGUAAAGGCCUACAAAGGCGACGAUCUGUAGCGGGUCUGAGAGGAUGAUCCGCCACACUGGGACUGAGACACGGCCCAGACUCCUACGGGAGGCAGCAGUGGGGAAUAUUGGACAAUGGGGGGAACCCUGAUCCGGCCAUGCCGCGUGUGUGAAGAAGGCCUUUUGGUUGUAAAGCACUUUAAGCGAGGAGGAGGCUACUGGUAUUAAUACUACCGGAUAGUGGACGUUACUCGCAGAAUAAGCACCGGCUAACUCUGUGCCAGCCGCCGCAGUAAAAC
rnacentral:rRNA from 1 species